AAUGUGUUUUUCAAGGGGGUAAAACUUGUACGCCGCAGUCAACCGUGAAAAUCACGGUUUUUCGCAUAUAACUAGAAAUUUAGGGAAAAAUAACAUGUUAUUUUCAGAUAUAUAGAAGAAAAUACCUUACUGUUGAUAAUUAUGUAAGUUUCGUUGAAAUAAACAACAUAUUUCACAUGAAAUUCUGACUUUGUUGUGAUCGCGGGCGAGGAUCGCGGGUGUUUUGUUUCCUCCCGUACCCGUACUAAGGGGACAUAACUUCGUCAAGACUCGUGCUAAAUAUGCAUAAUAUGUAAAAACCUCCACCACCAUCAUCAUAUGGGGAAAAUAGAAAAGUUUUAAAAAACAGUAUUACCAAAUGUGCAACAACAGAAAAACGGGGUUGACUGUGGGGUUUUUGCUAUUGCUAACUUGGUAGAAUUUUGUUUCAAUGGGUUUAACGGGAGUGAAGAGUUAGAGUUUGACACCACUUGCAUGAGACAACAUCUUGUAGAAUGUAUUUCCAAUGGAAUCUUUACUAAGUUUCCUAGGAAAAAAAUGAGUAGGCAUAGGCAAAAGAAAACUUCUUUAUCAUUUGAUAUUUUUAUUGAUUGCGAAGCAGAUGGGUGUCACAUCUCAAAUGUAUUUGAUGAUAUGGUUUCUUGUGAUGCUGGCUGUGACAGAUGGUUUCAUAAUAGAUGUGUAAGUGAUCUGUCAGAUUUACAUAUAUAUGAUGAGGUAAUACAUACAUAUCAUAUUAGACAUUCAUAUUUUUUCAUUUUUUUAUUAGAUUUAUAUUAAUCUUUAUCAGGAUGUGAGAUUAUAUCUACACUGAGUACCGGUAGUAUAAUUUGUAGUGAUGGUAGUGAAGGUGAUGGUAGUGAAGGUGACGGUUGUAAAGGUGGACCAUUGGGUAGUGUCAGUACAGGAGGUAGAUAGUGGGGAAGUAUACAUUCUUGAUAGUUUGAUAGGAAAUACGAAAAAUUUGUCAGCUUCUUUAGAAAUGCAGUUGUCAUCAUCGUAUGAGGAAAAUAGAUGAGUUUUAAAAACAGUAUUACCAAAUAAGCAACAACA